GACAUAGGUGGCGAACGUUAUCCGGAAUUAUUGGGCAUAAAGGGUGCGUAGGCGGUUUAAUAAGUUACUGGUGGUAAAUCGGGGCUCAACCUCGUGGAAGUCAGUAAUACUAUUAGACUAGAGGACCGGAGGAGUUAACGGAAUGGCUCAUGUAGGGGUAAAAUCCGCAAAUAUGAGUUGGAACACCAAUUGGCGAAGGCAGUUAACUAUUCGGUUCCUGACGUUUGAGGCACGAAAGCGUGGGGAGCGAACAGGG
rnacentral:rRNA from 1 species